GCCAGCGUGGUGUAGUGGUUUGAGCAUUAGACUACAAUUCUGGAGAUUAAGGUUCAAAUUCUAGCUCAGCCA